rnacentral:lncRNA from 1 species
ACCAAGAAGCUAAGAAGAAUACCAGCAACAAAAGUAGAGAAGAGAAGAUGCAUCAACCUCACGGACCUCCUCAGCAUCAGGGUCCGCCUCCUCCCGGUUCCGAAGGACCUCCACCGGGAGGUCCGGGUCAUCAUGGACCUCCACCAGGUGGUCCGGGUCACCAUGGACCUCCAACAGGAGGUCCGGGUCACCAAGGACCUCCACCGGGUGGUCCAGGUCACCAAGGACCUGCACCAGGACACCAUGGACCUCCAUCGGGUGGGCCAGGUCACCAUGGUGGCCCCGGCGGCCAUGGCGGGCACUGCUAAACAGGUGCAUGGUUUGCUCGGGUUAUAUAAAAUGUUAGUUUGCUGUAACAAAAGGUCUUAGAGAGGAAUAAGGAUCAUUAAGUGAUUGAUCAGAUAAGAACUAUGCCCUUACAUUACUUGUAUCAUGUGUGUUUUGAGGUAUGCCGUGAAAAGUGGGAAGCCUGACUUGAUCUUUGUACUGAUGUUUUUGUAAGUUCUAUCUUGUAUGUGUGUUAAUCAAAUAAAUUAUAUAUGGGAGUAGUUUCAUAUCUAUGGCAAGGAAUCAAAUAGCGGUUCGAUACAACGAUAGUAAAAUUAGGGUAGCAUCGAUAUCCGCUAUCGUUAUUGAAUAAAACACGAUU